GACAAAACUGGAUGCAACUGGAGA
rnacentral:piRNA from 1 species